AUGAUGAUGAUGAUUAUGAUGAAGAAGAUGAAGAAGCAGAUAAGGAAGGGGAAAGAGAAGGAAAUGAGGAAAAUGAUCCAGACUAUGACUCAAAGAAAGAUCAAAACCCAGCAGAGUAGAAGCAGCAGCGAAGUAAGAGACAGAGCGCAAGUGGGGGGAGGACGAGGAGAGAGAGGGAGACACAGAAUUCAAAGCAGACUCCAGGCUCUGAGCUGUCAGAAACUGCGAGAUCAUGACCUGAGCUGAAGUCAGUCACUUACCCGACUGAGCCACCCAGGUGACCCCCCAAAAAGGUAAAUUCUUUUUUUUUUACAUUUUAUUUAUUUUUGAAAGAGAGAGAGAGAGAGAGAGAGAGAGAGAGAGAGAGCGCACAAGUGGGGGAGAGGCAGAGAGAGAGGGAGACAUAGAAUUCAAAGCAGGCUCCAGGCUCUGAGCUGUCAGCACAGAGCCCAACGUGGGGCUCAAACUCACAAACCGUGAGAUAAUGACCUGAGCUGAAGUUGGACACUUAACUGACCGAGCUACCCAGGCACCCCCCAAAAGGUAAAUUCUUAAUGACAAAUUAAACACUGAAUUUUUGUGCAUCAAGAAAGUUAAUGAUAAAUGUGUAACUUGCACUAAAUGGUUAUCUUUACCAUUUACCCUCAAGGUCAUAGUUAUGUCAUUGACCGUAUUAAGAGCAGAACAUAAAAUUCAGCUAAUGGAGAAAGCCCAUCUACUUCAAUGGCCAUUUGUAUAUUAAGCAGAUAUUAAAUAUGUAACAACACACGCAGUGGCAAAAGUUGUGUUUAUAUAUUGCUCUAUGAAGCAGGAUGUUUUGUUCCAAACAAAUGAAAAUGACUGUUUUUAUUCUAAGGUUUUUUGCACACGUAUGAGGAAUGAAGUGAUAGCUAUUGGCUCCAUUCACAGAUUUUUCUGUAUCAGUUAAAUGGUAUUAGUUUUAUAUCAAUCAAGAAAUGUUUCAAACAAUAAAUUCAUUAAUCAGUCUCUAAGAAUUGAAUGU
rnacentral:lncRNA from 1 species